AACGAACGCUGGCGGCAGGCUUAACACAUGCAAGUCGAACGCCCCGCAAGGGGAGUGGCAGACGGGUGAGUAACGCGUGGGAACAUACCCUUUUCUACGGAAUAGCUCUGGGAAACUGGAAUUAAUACCGUAUACGCCCUACGGGGGAAAGAUUUAUCGGGGAAGGAUUGGCCCGCGUUGGAUUAGCUAGUUGGUGGGGUAAAGGCCUACCAAGGCGACGAUCCAUAGCUGGUCUGAGAGGAUGAUCAGCCACAUUGGGACUGAGACAUGGCCCAAACUCCUACGGGAGGCAGCAGUGGGGAAUAUUGGACAAUGGGCGCAAGCCUGAUCCAGCCAUGCCGCGUGAGUGAUGAAGGCCUUAGGGUUGUAAAGCUCUUUCACCGAUGAAGAUAAUGACGGUAGUCGGAGAAGAAGCCCCGGCUAACUUCGUG
rnacentral:rRNA from 1 species